rnacentral:tRNA from 1 species
GUCUCCUUAGCUCAGUUGGUAGAGCAACUGACUCUUAAUCAGUGGGUCACAGGUUCGAGCCCUGUAGGGGACACCA